rnacentral:rRNA from 1 species
UACCCUAUUAUAUUUAUUUCAAACUAUCAUAAUGCCUGAUUAUUAAUAGUUAUAAGCUUUAAACUCAAAGAAUUUGGCGGUGACUUAGUCUUAUUAGGGGAACCUGUUUUUUAAACGAUAAACCACGCAGUAUCUUACCUUUUUCUGUCGUUUGUAUACCGUCAUUAAGAUAACUUUUAAAAAACAAGUUGUUAUAAUAAAUAAUUUUUAAAAUAUUAGAUCAAGGUGCAGCAUAUAAAAAGGUCAAAAUGGGUUACAAUAAAAUACCUUUAAAACGGAUAUUACUAUGAAACUAGUAUUAGAAGGGGGACUUAAAAGUAAAAAUAUUUCAAUAAGAAAUUUUGAAUCUAGCACUAAGUCAUGU